CCUACGGGAGGCAGCAGUAGGGAAUAUUGCUCAAUGGGGGAAACCCUGAAGCAGCAACGCCGCGUGGAGGAUGAAGGUUUUCGGAGUGGAAACUCCUUUUGGUAGAGAAGAGAAUGACGGUAUCUAACGAAUAAGCACCGGCUAACUCCGUGCCAGCAGCCGCGGUAAUACGGAGGGUGCAAGCGUUACUCGGAAUCACUGGGCGUUAAGAGCGCGUAGGCGGGAUAGCAAGUCAGAUGUGAAAUCCUAUGGCUUAACCCUAGAACCUCAUUUGAAACUGUUAUUCUAGAGUAUGGGAGAGGUAGGUGGAAUUCUUGGUGUAGGGGUCAAAUCCGUAGAGAUCACGCGGAAUCCUCAUUGCGAAGGCGACCUGCUAGAACCUAACUGACGCUGAUGCGCGAAAGCGUGGGGAGCAAACAGGAUUAGAUACCCUUGUAGUC
rnacentral:rRNA from 1 species